rnacentral:rRNA from 1 species
UACGUAGGGUGCAAGUGUUGUCCGGAUUUAUUGGGCGUAAAGGGCGCGUAGGCGGCCACGCACGUCCGUUGUGAAAUCGCUCGGCUCAACUGGGCGGGGUCAGCGGAUACGGUGUGGCUAGAGCAAGCUAGGGGGCAAUGGAAUUCCCGGUGUAGUGGUGGAAUGCGUAGAUAUCGGGAGGAACACCAGUGGCGAAGGCGGUUGCCUGGAGCUUUGCUGACGCUGAUGCGCGAAAGCGUGGGGAGCGAUCCGG